rnacentral:rRNA from 1 species
CAGCAGCCGCGGGAAUACGUAGGGUGCAAGCGUUAAUCGGAAUUACUGGGCGUAAAGCGUGCGCAGGCGGUUAUAUAAGUCAGAUGUGAAAUCCCCGGGCUCAACCUGGGAAUUGCAUUUGAGACUGUAUGGCUAGAGUGUGUCAGAGGGGGGUAGAACUCCACGUGUAGCAGUGAAAUGCGUAGAUAUGUGGAGGAAUACCGAUGGCGAAGGCAGCCCCCUGGGAUAACACUGACGCUCAUGCACGAAAGCGUGGGGAGCAAACAGGAUUAGAUACCCCGGUAGUCCCUGUCUCUUAUAC